rnacentral:rRNA from 1 species
AGCGAACGCUGGCGGCAGGCCUAACACAUGCAAGUCGAACGAACCCUUCGGGGUUAGUGGCGGACGUGUGAGUAACACGUGGGGACGUGCCUUUAGGUUCGGAAUAACUCAGGGAAACUUGUGCUAAUACCGAAUGUGCCCUUCGGGGGAAAGAUUUAUCGCCUUUAGAGCGGCCCGCGUCUGAUUAGCUAGUUGGUGAGGUAAUGGCUCACCAAGGCUACGAUCAGUAGCUGGUCUGAGAGGAUGACCAGCCACAUUGGGACUGAGACACGGCCCAAACUCCUACGGGAGGCAGCAGUGGGGAAUCUUGCGCAAUGGGCGAAAGCCUGACGCAGCCAUGCCGCGUGGAUGAUGAAGGUCUUAGGAUUGUAAAAUCCUUUCACCGGUGAAGAUAAUGACUGUAGCCGGAGAAGAAGCCCCGGCUAACUUCGUGCCAGCAGCCGCAGUAAUAC